CGGAGGGUGCAAGCGUUUACUCCGGAUUCACGUGGGUUUAAAGGGAGCGUAGGUGGGAUGGUAAGUCAGUGGUGAAAUCUCCGGGCUUAACUCGGAAACUGCCGUUGAUACUAUCAUUCUUGAAUAUUGUGGAGGUAAGCGGAAUAUGUCAUGUAGCGGUGAAAUGCUUAGAUAUGACAUAGAACACCAAUAGCGAAGGCAGCUUGCUACACAAUUAUUGACACUGAGGCUCGAAAGCGUGGGGAUCAAACAGGAUUAGAUACCCUGGUAGUCCACGCCCUAAACGAUGGAUACUCGACAUACGCGAUACACAGUGUGUGUCUGAGCGAAAGCAUUAAGUAUCCCACCUGGGAAGUACGACCGCAAGGUUG
rnacentral:rRNA from 1 species